rnacentral:lncRNA from 1 species
CUGCCUGAAACAGAUUUUCCAUUCCAUCAAAUGCAGAACUGCAGAUGGGAUUAUUGAGAAGCACAGUAAUAUGGUACUAAUCAUCAUCAUAUAGGUAGGGGAGCAGUACUCCAGUAACAAUGUGCUGCAGAUCAAUGCAGACAAUAAUACUACAAAACACCAUACUGUAGCAAGUAAUAACACUACAAAACGCCACACUGAUCGAGUACUGACACUGUCAAGUAGCCAUCUCAAGCUCUACACCUCUCUCUCUCUCUCUCUCUCUACAGCUGCAAUGACAAACAGUAACAGUGGCAGUGGCCCUCUGACAAGGUGGCCCCACCGCCCCCCUCAGACCAAGGCCGGGCCCGCCGUCAGUGACAGCAGCAUCAGCACCGCCGCGACCCCCACCGCCUUGUAGCUGUACCCUCGCGCGCCCGCGUCGCUCUGCAGGUGGGCCCCACGGCUCAGUCACACAUAGAGGCAGUACUAAUAAUAGUUAAACGGCAUAAAAGAGUACUAGUAAUAAUAAUAUGUACUGUAAAAGGAAUAAAUGAAUUUAACCGGAGUUAUUAUUGGGCCACUCCAUGGGUCCCACGUGUCAUCGGAACGGGGCUGCCGAUGCGGGCCGGGGCCCACGUAGCAUCGAUUCUUUUUUGACCCGACGCGCACUCGCUGACACGCGGGACCCACCACCCGCGCUUCGAUAUCCCCGCGCCGCGCGCGGGGCGGACGCGAGGUGGAGGCCAUGCAAUCUGGUUGACCGCGCCGCGUUUGGAAUCCGACGGCCCAGAUCGACUCGCUUCGUCUCAUCAACGGUCCCGAUGCACCGUGCGUGCGUACGUACGUGCAUGCGUAGUAGUAAUGGUGCGGGGAUACGUACCGACAUGUCGGCGGCGGAGGGGCCGGGGCCGGGGGCGAGGCCGCN